GCUGCCCCCCAAGGGCCUUGAUCUCACCCGCCUGAGCUCCUGACCCCAGCUCACAACAAUAGUCAGACGUUUCCCGGACGGCGUCACCGCCCUUCUUGACCAUCAUUCCUCUUUUCUUUGGGCGCAGGAACCACUCUAGGUCCUCGGAGUGAACCUUCUGGGACAGUGACCUCAGAAGGUUCAGAGUCCUUCAGAAAAGCAUCGGGGUUUGAGGACACAAGUGGUGUCCCAACUGCUCCAAGUUCAUCCUUGGGCGUCAGACAAGUAAGUACAUCUGAAACAUCUGGUGGUGUAACCAGUGGAGAUGAAAAUAAACCUGCAUCACCCAGCAGCAGUACUACAAGCUCUUCAGAUAAACCAGGUGAGAUUAGCUAAACACAAAAAGUCACAAAUAUCAGAUAUUUAUUUAGUUGGACAUCCUUCCUGCUUAAA
rnacentral:lncRNA from 12 species